AUUGAACGCUGGCGGAAUGCUUUACACAUGCAAGUCGAACGGCAGCACGGACUUCGGUCUGGUGGCGAGUGGCGAACGGGUGAGUAAUGUAUCGGAACGUGCCCAGUCGUGGGGGAUAACGUAGGGAAAAUUACGCUAAUACCGCAUACAAGCUAUGGAUGAAAGCGGGGGAUCGCAAGACCUCGCGCGAUUGGAGCGGCCGAUAUCAGAUUAGGUAGUUGGUGGGGUAAAGGCCCACCAAGCCAACGAUCUGUAGCUGGUCUGAGAGGACGACCAGCCACACUGGAACUGAGACACGGUCCAGACUCCUACGGGAGGCAGCAGUGGGGAAUUUUGGACAAUGGGCGAAAGCCUGAUCCAGCCAUUCCGCGUGCAGGAUGAAGGCCCUCGGGUUGUAAACUGCUUUUGUACAGAACGAAAAGGUUUCUACUAAUACUAGGAGCUCAUGACGGUACUGUAAGAAUAAGCACCGGCUAACUACGUGCCAGCCGCCGCGGUAA
rnacentral:rRNA from 1 species